GCCGCGGUAUUUUGACCGUGCGAAGGUAGCAUAAUCAUUAGUCUUUUAAUUGAAGGCUUGUAUGAAGGGUUGGACGAGAAAUAAGCUGUCUUUAUUGGAAAAAUAGAAUUUAACUUUUAAGUGAGAGGGCUUAAAUGUUCUAAAGGGACGAUAAGACCCUAUAAAGUUUGACAUUUUAUUCAUUAGAAAAUAAAAUAAUUAAUUAAUUUUUAUUAGUGGGGGUAAUGUUUUGUUGGGGCGAUUAGAAUAUAAAGAAUUUAACUGUUUUAUAUUAAUACAAAGUUGUUUGAGUGUUUUGAUCCUUAAUAAAGGUAUUAGAGUAAAUUACUUUAGGGAUAACAGCGUAAUUUUUUUUGAGAGUUCUUAUCGACAAAAAAGUUUGCGACCUCGAUGUUGAAUUAAAGAAUUCUUUAUAGCGCAGAAGUUAUAAAAGAAGGUCUGUUCGACCUUUAAAUCUUUACAU
rnacentral:rRNA from 1 species